rnacentral:rRNA from 1 species
CUACGGGAGGCAGCAGUGGGGAAUAUUGCACAAUGGGCGCAAGCCUGAUGCAGCGACGCCGCGUGGGGGAUGACGGCCUUCGGGUUGUAAACCUCUUUCAGUAGGGACGAAGCGUAAGUGACGGUACCUAUAGAAGAAGCACCGGCCAACUACGUGCCAGCAGCCGCGGUAAUACGUAGGGUGCGAGCGUUGUCCGGAAUUACUGGGCGUAAAGGGUCCGCAGGUGGCAUGUCAAGUCGAUUGCGAAAGCUCCCGGCUCAACUGGGAGAGGACGGUCGAAACUGGCAAACUAGAGUCCGACAGAGGUCGGCGGAAUUCCCGGUGUAGUGGUGGAAUGCGUAGAUAUCGGGAGGAACGCCAAAAGCGAAAGCAGCCGGCUGGGUCGAGACUGACACUGAGGGACGAAAGCGUGGGUAGCGAACAGGAUUAGAAACCCUUGUAGUCC